UACGUAGGUGGCAAGCGUUAUCCGGAAUUAUUGGGCGUAAAGAGCGCGCAGGUGGUUAAUUAAGUCUGAUGUGAAAGCCCACGGCUUAACCGUGGAGGGUCAUUGGAAACUGGUUGACUUGAGUGCAGAAGAGGGAAGUGGAAUUCCAUGUGUAGCGGUGAAAUGCGUAGAGAUAUGGAAGAACACCAGUGGCGAAGGCGGCUCUCUGGUCUGCAACUGACGCUGAGGCUUGAAAGCAUGGGUAGCGAACAGG
rnacentral:rRNA from 1 species